CUUUUUGUGCAUAAUGUAUAUAUAGGGGGUAUAGGGUGUCUCCAGAGACACUGAUCGGGCCAUGAGACACCAGUCGCUGAACGAGAAGCUAAACGAAGGCACCGAUCAGAAGAAGCUAAAUGAGCUGGUAGGGAGGUGAGGUGGGUCUCGAGACGGUAUUCGAGACCUAUGUGGGGUUAUGUUGCACGAUGUGGGUUUACCGAUGAUUGAUGCAUGUUGGGUCGGCUAAGGCCCCAUUAAGUGCCUUGAACGACCUAUUGAUCCAUGUUUGUGUUAUGCUAGUUGCGCAAGCUGCGGCCAGUGACUUGAUGUUAGUACGACAUGGUGAUAUAGGCAUGCUUCGAGGCGUGGUGUUUUCAAUUUUUCGUUUGUUACUUUCGCAUCGUUCGGUGCAUUCUGGGGGCUGUUUUGGCUUUUGGUUGCUUGCUUGGCCUUUUGGUUGGGUGGGUCGCUACUAGUUGGGUGGCUUUCGGGAAUGUCGACCGGGAAGGUGCAUGAGUGGUGAUUGGUUUGUUACGUGUGGUUGGCUGUUUGCUUGUGCAACAACGAUCACGCUGCAUACCUCUUCAGUUUUGCGGCAAGACUCGGUUUGUCUUGAGCAUAUUGUGGGUUUCAUGUGUUGCAUACCUAAUUGAUGGUAUCGUGUGGGUUUUACGAUUUUCCUUUUCGUCAUGCGUCGUUCAUGCGGCUGGGAUGAACAAUGAAGCGGUCUUUGUGAUCCACCGUGUUGUUGCUUUUGCAACAAUGAUGUGGCCUACGAAGCAUCGUUUGGUCUCUUGUAUAUGGAACUUGAUGUGGGCUUGGGUCUUUCUAAGAACUCCAUUUUGCCCUCGUUAAGCGUUUUUGCUUCUCCAAAACGAUUGCCUGCCAUGUUUUGGCCUGUCUUUGCAUGGUGGGCUACGUUGAAGAGGAAUGCUACCUGGUUGAUCCUGCCAGUAGUCA
rnacentral:misc_RNA from 1 species